GCCACACCGUGCACCACGUCCAACCCGGGGCCUCCCAGUCCACCCCGCCAGCCGAACACCCAGCCAACCCCAUGUGGCUUCUCACAAGGUGUUCUCUGAUAUUCCGUCCCCUUCGGUAUGUGACACUAGGAUAUGGGUUUUAGUGUCCCGGGCCUUGACGUGUGGA